AUUGAACGCUGGCGGCAGGCCUAACACAUGCAAGUCGAGCGGGGCGGCGGACGGGUGAGUAAUGCCUAGGAAUCUGACUGGUAGUGGGGGCUAACGUCCGGAAACGGGCGCUAAUACCGCAUCCUAUCAGAUGAGCCUAGGUCGGAUUAGCUAGUUGGUGGGGUAAAGGCCUACCAAGGCGACGAUCCGUAACUGGUCUGCGAGGAGGAUCAGUCAAACUGGAACUGAGACACGGGCCAGACUCCUACGGGAGGUAGCAGUGGGGAAUAUUGGACAAUGGGCGAAAGCCUUAUCCAGCCAUGCCGCGUGUGUGAAUAAGGUCUUCGGAUUGUAAAGCACUUUAAGUUGGGAGGCGUUACCAACAGAAUAAGCACCGUCUAACUUCGUGCCAGCAGCCGCGGUAAUUC
rnacentral:rRNA from 1 species